rnacentral:lncRNA from 1 species
UACAUAAAAUAAUUAGGAUAAAUACUAAAAUAAUAUUUUCUCUUUAUCCAAGUCUCCAAGGAUCUUAUCUUUGUUGUUUUUUAAUUUUGAGUAGAAUUUCUCCUUCAAUUUUGCAUAUUUUGCACAUAGAAUAAUUGUAGAAGCUCAGGAAACCUUGUAGAAAUAGGAAAAAUAAAAAAAUGGAGUCCAAAAGGACUCAGGAGAAAGGAGAUGUGCGGGUGGGUUAUUAGGCCCACGGGUCGUGCCACAGGUUACACAGGUGGACCAGGCAGGGCGUAGGGGCAUACUACCUGGGUUGGGGUUGCACGCGUAUAGGUCGUCAGGCGUUCGAUCUAUCUUCCAUGUACAUGUGCGUUGCCUCGUACAUGCUACGCGUGUCCUGGGUGUAUGCUAGUGUGCGCUGGGUGUGCGGGACAACUUAUCCGCGUAUGCUAACGGGAUAUGCAUGUAACCAGCUUCUUACGUACUUGUGCGCGUGCUGUGGGGCAUGUGGGCACUGCUGCUCACACAUACUUUGUGCGAGAUCAUGCGGACUAGGUGCUCACACGUGCGGGGGCCAUGUUUCACAUGUG